rnacentral:rRNA from 1 species
UGCAAGUCGAACGGCAGCACGGGUGCUUGCACCUGGUGGCGAGUGGCGAACGGGUGAGUAAUACAUCGGAACAUGUCCUGUAGUGGGGGAUAGCCCGGCGAAAGCCGGAUUAAUACCGCAUACGAUCCACGGAUGAAAGCGGGGGACCUUCGGGCCUCGCGCUAUAGGGUUGGCCGAUGGCUGAUUAGCUAGUUGGUGGGGUAAAGGCCUACCAAGGCGACGAUCAGUAGCUGGUCUGAGAGGACGACCAGCCACACUGGGACUGAGACACGGCCCAGACUCCUACGGGAGGCAGCAGUGGGGAAUUUUGGACAAUGGGCGAAAGCCUGAUCCAGCAAUGCCGCGUGUGUGAAGAAGGCCUUCGGGUUGUAAAGCACUUUUGUCCGGAAAGAAAUCCCUGGCUCUAAUACAGUCGGGGGAUGACGGUACCGGAAGAAUAAGCACCGGCUAACUACGUGCCAGCAGCCGCGGUAAUACGUAGGGUGCGAGCGUUAAUCGGAAUUACUGGGCGUAAAGCGUGCGCAG